rnacentral:pre_miRNA from 1 species
CUUGGAGGUGGGGGGGGUCCCUCAGCUCAGAUUGCGAGAGGGCGCAGGCCAGGCCCAGGGACCCCACUGGUGCACG